ACAAUGGAGAGUUUGAUCCUGGCUCAGGAUGAACGCUGGCGGCGUGCCUAAUACAUGCAAGUCGGACGCAAUGCUUCGGCAUUGAGUGGCGAACGGGUGAGUAAUACAUAAGCAACCUGCCCCUGUGAGGGGGAUAACUGCUGGAAACGGCAGCUAAGACCGCAUAGGCAUACAUGACGCAUGUCGAGUAUGUUAAAUAUCCUACGGGAUAGCACAGGGAUGGGCUUAUGACGCAUUAGCUAGCUGGUGAGGUAGAGGCUCACCAGGGCGACGAUGCGUAGCCGGCCUGAGAGGGUGGACGGCCACACUGGGACUGAGACACGGCCCAGAC
rnacentral:rRNA from 1 species